rnacentral:rRNA from 1 species
UACAGAGGGUGCAAGCGUUAAUCGGAAUUACUGGGCGUAAAGGGCGCGUAGGCGGUUAAAUAAGUGAGAUGUGAAAUCCCUGGGCUUAACCUAGGAACUGCAUCUUAUACUGUUUGACUAGAGUACUGUAGAGGGUAGUGGAAUUUCCGGUGUAGCGGUGAAAUGCGUAGAGAUCGGAAGGAACACCAGUGGCGAAGGCGGCUACCUGGACAGAUACUGACGCUGAGGCGCGAGAGCGUGGGGGAGCAAACAGG